rnacentral:sRNA from 1 species
AUAAUAGUUAAAACUUUCAACAACGGAUCUCUUGGUUCUGGCAUCGAUGAAGAACGCAGCGAAAUGCGAUAAGUAAUGUGAAUUGCAGAAUUCAGUGAAUCAUCGAAUCUUUGAACGCACAUUGCGCCCCUUGGUAUUCCGAGGGGCAUGCCUGUUCGAGCGUCAUUACAACCCUCAAGCAAUGCUUGGUGUUGGGCCGCGCCGCUAACCCGGCGGGCCCUAAAACCAGUGGCGGUGCCGUCGGGCUCUGAGCGUAGUAAUUCUUCUCGCUAUAGAGCCCCGGCGGAUGCUAGCCAGCAACCCCCAAUUUUCUAUGGUUGACCUCGGAUCAGGUAGGGAUACCCGCUGAACUUAA